rnacentral:rRNA from 1 species
UACGAACUGUGCGAACGUUAUUCGGAAUCACUGGGCUUAAAGGGUGCGUAGGCGGCUUGUUAAGUAGGGUGUGAAAGCCCCCGGCUCAACCGGGGAAUGGCGCCCUAAACUGGCGAGCUAGAGUGAGAUAGGGGUGUGUGGAACUUCCGGUGGAGCGGUGAAAUGUGUUGAUAUCGGAAGGAACGCCGGUGGCGAAAGCGACACACUGGAUCUUGUCUGACGCUGAGGCACGAAAGCCAGGGGAGCGAACGGG